AACCAUAGAAACCUGCGGAGUACCUGCGGAGGGAUCAUUACAGAGUUGCAAAACUCCCACAAACCAUCGCGAAUCUUACCCGUACGGUUGCCUCGGCGCUGGCGGUCCGGAAGGCCCUCGGGCCCCCGGACCCUCGGGUCCCCCGCUCGCGGGGGGCUGCCCGCCGGAGUGCCGAAACCAAACUCUUGAUAUUUUAUGUCUCUCUGAGUAAACUUCUAAAUAAGUCAAAACUUUUAACAA
rnacentral:misc_RNA from 1 species